GACGAACGCUGGCGGCGUGCUUAACACAUGCAAGUCGAACGGUGAAGGGACUGGUUUUGCUGGUCCUGGAUGAGUGGCGAACGGGUGAGUAACACGUGAGUAACCUGCCCCCUUCUUCUGGAUAACCGCAUGAAAGUGUGGCUAAUACGGGAUAUUCUGGGUCUGUCGCAUGGUGGGCCUGGGAAAGAUUGCGCCUUUUUUGGUGUUUUUGGUGGGGGAUGGGCUCGCGGCCUAUCAGCUUGUUGGUGGGGUGAUGGCCUACCAAGGCGGUGACGGGUAGCCGGUCUGAGAGGGUGGACGGUCACACUGGGACUGAGACACGGCCCAGACUUCUACGGGAGGCAGCAGUGGGGAAUUGUGCACCAUGGGCGCAGGCCUGAUGCAGCGACGCCGCGUGAGGGAUGGAGGCCUUCGGGUUGUGAACCUCUUUCGCCAGUGAAGCAGGCCUGCCUCUUUGUGUGGGUGGGUUGACGGUAGCUGGAUAAGAAGCGCCGGCUAACUACGUG
rnacentral:rRNA from 1 species